CAAUGCCGAUCUUGGCUUAUUCGUUCCCAAAUCCGAAUUCCUGGCCAAAAAAACCCCAAAUCCCAGAUCUAUGGUUACACUCAAAACUCAUUUAGUAGUUAUAGGUAAUCAAUAAACAAAAUAAAAAACAAAACAAAGGGAAGAAGAAAA